AUGAAUCCCUCCUCGGCCCCGGGUCCGGACGGCCUUCCGAUGAAAUUCUUCCAGACCUUCUGGAAUGUGAUUAAGCCGGAAAUCAUGGCCAUCUUUGACGAGUUCUACGUUGGGACCAUCGACCUUGGGCACCUCAACUAUGGGAUAAUCUCGCUCAUUCCCAAAGUGCCGGGGGCCUCCGACAUUCGCCAGUUCCGCCCGAUCACGGUGAUCAAUGUGAUCUUCCGGAUUCUGGCAAAGGGGUACGCCAAUAGGGUAACCCUGCUAGCAGACCUCAUUACCCACCCCAACCAGCCCGCCUUCGUGAAAGAGCGGUAUAUCCUGGAUGGGGUAUUAGUUCUCCAUGAAGUCCUCCAUGAGGUGCGGUCUAAACACCUCAAGGCGGUCUUCCUGAAAAUUGACUUUCACAAGGCCUACGACACUGUUAGUUGGUCCUUCCUUCGGGAAGUUUUGCUCCGGAAGGGCUUCGAUGAUCGUUGGAUCACCCGAGUGAUGCAGAUGAUGUCCUGCGGGCGCACUGCCAUGAACAUCAAUGGGGAGAUUGGUCCUUACUUCCCCACCCUCUGUGGGGUUAGACAAGGGUGGUGGACGCGCUUGCCGCCAUCCUAG
rnacentral:rRNA from 1 species